rnacentral:snRNA from 1 species
GCCUUCGGGCAUUUGGUCAAUUUGAAACGAUACAGAGAAGAUUAGCAUGG